AUUGAACGCUGGCGGCAUGCCUUACACAUGCAAGUCGAGCGCGAAAGGGGGCAACCCCGAGUAGAGCGGCGGACGGGUGAGUAACACAUCGGAACGUGCCCAGUAGUGGGGGACAACCUCGAGAAAUCGAGGCUAAUACCGCAUACGACCCACGGGUGAAAGCGGGGGACCGCAAGGCCUCGCGCUAUUGGAGCGGCCGAUGUCCGAUUAGCUAGUUGGCGGGGUAAGAGCCCACCAAGGCGACGAUCGGUAGCUGGUCUGAGAGGACGACCAGCCACACUGGGACUGAGACACGGCCCAGACUCCUACGGGAGGCAGCAGUGGGGAAUUUUGGACAAUGGGGGCAACCCUGAUCCAGCCAUGCCGCGUGC
rnacentral:rRNA from 1 species